rnacentral:tRNA from 1 species
GCCUGAGUGGCUCAGUCGGUUAAGCGUCUGACUUCGACUCAGGUCAUGAUCUCACAGUUCGUAAGUUCAAGCCCCGCAUCGGGCU